AAUCCAGCAACAAAACAUUGCAUAUUGCAAAAUUCACAUAAAAACGUCAGUGGAUUUCACUAAUUACGGAGUAUUUUGUCAAGUUACGUGACCUGACCCAAAUUCAAGGUUCUACUGAGAUUUGAUGUCAGAUCACUGGAUUCAAAGUCCAGAGUGCUAACCAUUACACCAUAGAACCAUGACUUUCUGCUGGAAAUUAAAACUUGACCAAACUGCAAAAAAAUAAAUAAAUAAAUAAAUCCAGCAACAAAACAUUGCAUAUUGCAAAAUUCACAUAAAAACUUCAGUGGAUUUCACUAAUUACAGAGUAUUUUGUCAAGUUACAUGACCUGACCCAAAUUCAAGGUUCUAUUGAGAUUUGAACUCAGAUCACUGGAUUCAGAGUCCAGAGUGCUAACCAUUACACCAUGGAAUCAUGAGCAGAACAGCAGAAUAAAAAAAAAAAUCUAUAUUUUAUGUUAGACAAGCUAUCAUAGGUUACAAACAAACUGCCCAAAACCAAUAUUUUUGGAUUGCGAAGAUAUUCAGAUUGUGUUUACCUUGAGUUUCUAAAUGCAUUUCUCUCGUUUCUUUGCUUCAAAGAUCGUGUAGGUUCUACUGAGAUUUGAAGUCAGAUCACUGGAUUCAAAGUCCAGAGUGCUAUCCAUUACACCAUAGAACCAUGACUUUCUGCUGGAAAUUAAAACUUGACCAAACUGCAAAAAAAAAAAUAAAUAAAUAAAUCCAGCAACAAAACAUUGCAUAUUGCCAAAUUCACAUAAAAACUUCAGUGGAUUUCACGAAAUACAGAGUAUGUUGUCAAGUUUCAUGACCUGACCCAAAUUCAAGGUUCUACUGAGAUUUGAACUCAGAUCACUGGAUUCAGAGUCCAGAGUGCUAACCAUUACACCAUAGAACCAUGACUUUCUGCUGGAAAUUAAAACUUGACCAAACUGCAAAAAAAUAAAUAAAUAAAUAAAUCCAGCAACAAAACAUUGCAUAUUGCCAAAUUCACAUAAAAACUUCAGUGGAUUGCACGAAAUACAGAGUAUGUUGUCAAGUUUCAUGACCUGACCCAUAUUCAAGGUUCUACUGAGAUUUGAACUCAGAUCACUGGAUUCAGAGUCCAGAGUGCUAACCAUUACACCAUAGAACCAUGCGUAUGGGGCAGAAUAAAAAAAAAAAUCUAUAUUUUAUGUUAGACAAGCUAUCAUAGGUUAGAAACAAACUGCCCAAACCAAGAUUUUUAGAUUGCGAAGAUAUUCAGAUUAUGUUAACCCUGAGUUUAUAAAUGCAUUUCUCUCUUUCCUUGCUUCAAAGAUCUUAUAGGUUCUACUGAGAUUUGAACUCAGAUCACUGGAUUCAAAGUCCAGAGUGCUAACCAUUACACCAUAGAACCAUGACUUUCUGCUGGAAAUUAAAACUUGACCAAACUGCAAAAAAAUAAAUAAAUAAAUAAAUCCAGCAACAAAACAUUGCAUAUUGUAAAAUGUACAUGAAAACCUCAGUGGAUUUCACUAAUUACAGAGUAUUUUGUAAAGUUUCAUGACCUUAACCCAAAUUCAAGGUUCUACUGAGAUUUGAACUCAGAUCACUGGAUUCAGAGUCCAGAGUGCUAACCAUUACACCAUAGAACCAUGCGUAGAAGGGCAGAAUAAAAAAAAAUUCUAUAUUUUAUGUUAGACAAGCUAUCAUAGGUUACAAAAAAACUGCCCAAACCAAGAUUUUUAGAUUGCGAAGAUAUUCAGAUUAUGUUAACCCUGAGUUUAUAAAUGCUUUUCUCUCUUUACUUGCUUCAAAGAUCGUAUAGGUUCUACUGAGAUUUGAACUCAGAUCACUGGAUUCAGAGUCCAGAGUGCUAACCAUUACACCAUAGAACCAUGACUUUCUGCUGGAAAUUAAAACUUGACCAAACUGCAAAAAAAUAAAUAAAUAAAUAAAUCCAGCAACAAAACAUUGCAUAUUGCCAAAUUCACAUAAAAACUUCAGUGGAUUUCACGAAAUACAGAGUAUGUUGUCAAGUUUCAUGACCUGACCCAAAUUCAAGGUUCUGCUAAGAUUUGAACUCAGAUCAUUGGAUUCAGAGUCCAGAGUGCUAACCAUUACACCAUAGAACCAUGCGUAGAAGGGCAGAAUUAAAAAAAAAAAUCUAUAUUUUAUGUUAGACAAGUUAUCAUAGGUUACAAACAAACUGCCCAAAACCAAUAUUUUUAGAUUGCGAAGAUAUUCAGAUUAUGUUAACCCUGAGUUUAUAAAUGCAUUUCUCUCUUUCCUUGCUUCAAAGAUCUUAUAGGUUCUACUGAGAUUUGAACUCAGAUCACUGGAUUUAGAGUCCAGAGUGCUAACCAUUACACCAUAGAACCAUGACUUUCUGCUGGAAAUUAAAACUUGACCAAACUGCAAUAAAUAAAUAAAUAAAUAAAUCCAGCAACAAAACAUUGCAUAUUGCAAAAUUCACAUAAAAACCUCAGUGGAUUUCACUAAAUACGGUGUAUUUUGUAAAGUUACGUGACCUGACCCAAAUUCAAGGUUCUACUGAGAUUUGAAUUCACAUCACUGGAUUCAGAGUCCAGAGUGCUAACCAUUACACCAUAGAACCAUGACUUUCUGCUGGAAAUUAAAACUUGACCAAACUGCAAAAAACAAAAGAAAUAAAUAAAUCCAGCAACAAAACAUUGCAUAUUGCCAAAUUCACAUAAAAACUUCAGUGGAUUUCACGAAAUACAGAGUAUGUUGUCAAGUUUCAUGACCUGACCCAAAUUCAAGGUUCUACUGAGAUUUGAACUCAGAUCACUGGAUUCAGAGUCCAGAGUGCUAACCAUUACACCAUAGAACCAUGAGUAGAAGGGCAGAAUAAAAAAAAAAUUCUAUAUUUUAUGUUAGACAAGCUAUCAUAGGUUACAAACAAACUGCCCAAAACCAAUAUUUUUGGAUUGCGAAGAUAUUCAGAUUAUGUUUACCUUGAGUUUCUAAAUGCAUUUCUCUCUUUCCUUGCUUCAAAGAUCGUAUAGGUUCUACUGAGAUUUGAACUCAGAUCACUGGAUUCAAAGUCCAGAGUGCUAACCAUUACACCAUAGAACCAUGACUUUCUGCUGGAAAUUAAAACUUGACCAAACUGCAAAAAAAUAAAUAAAUAAAUAAAUCCAGCAACAAAACAUUGCAUAUUGCAAAAUUCACAUAAAAACUUCAGUGGAUUUCACUAAUUACAGAGUAUUUUGUCAAGUUACGUGACCUGACCCAAAUUCAAGGUUCUACUGAGAUUUGAACUCAGAUCACUGGAUUCAGAGUCCAGAGUGCUAACCAUUACACCAUAGAACCAUGAGUAGAAGGGCAGAAUAAAAAAAAAAUUCUAUAUUUUAUGUUAGACAAGCUAUCAUAGGUUACAAACAAACUGCCCAAAACCAAUAUUUUUGGAUUGCGAAGAUAUUCAGAUUAUGUUUACCUUGAGUUUCUAAAUGCAUUUCUCUCUUUCCUUGCUUCAAAGAUCGUAUAGGUUCUACUGAGAUUUGAACUCAGAUCACUGGAUUCAAAGUCCAGAGUGCUAACCAUUACACCAUAGAACCAUGACUUUCUGCUGGAAAUUAAAACUUGACCAAACUGCAAAAAAAUAAAUAAAUAAA